rnacentral:rRNA from 1 species
UCAUUUAAAGAGUGCGUAAUAGCUCACUAGUCGAGAGAUCCUGCGCCGAAGAUGUAACGGGGCUCAAACUUACCACCGAAGCUAUGGAUGUAUACUUUGUAUACGUGGUAGAGGAGCUUUCUGUACAGGUUGAAGCCAUACCGUAAGGAGUGGUGGACAGUACAGAAGUGAGAAUGCUGGCAUAAGUAGCGAAAAACAAGUGAGAAUCUUGUUGACCGAAUAUCUAAGGUUUCCUGGGGAAGGCUCGUCCUCCCAGGGUUAGUCGGGACCUAAGCCAAGGCCGAAAGGCGUAGGUGAUGGACAACUGGUUGAUAUUCCAGUACCACCAUAAUGCGUUUGACAAAUGGGAUGACGCAGGAGGAUAGGAUGUGCGCACUAUUGGAUGUGCGUCUAAGCACUUAGGGUGUUAAGUAGGCAAAUCCGCUUAACAUUAAGCCUGAGGUGUGAUGGGGAGUCAUUUUUGACGAAGUAUCUGAUUCCACGCUGCCAAGAAAAGUCUCUAUGGAGCAAAAUGGUGCCCGUACCGCAAACCGACACAGGUAGAUGAGGAGAGAAUCCUAAGGUCGUCGGAAGAAUUACUGCUAAGGAACUCGGCAAAUUGACCCCGUAACUUAGGGAGAAGGGGUGCCUACGAGAGUAGGCCGCAGUGAAUAGGCUCAAGCAACUGUUUAUCAAAAACACAGGUCUCUGCUAAAGCGUAAGCUGAUGUAUAGGGGCUGACGCCUGCCCGGUGCUGGAAGGUUAAGGGGAAUAGUUAGCGUAAGCGAAGCUAUGAACUUAAGCCCCAGUAAACGGCGGCC